CUGAUAGAAAAUGAUAGUGCAAAUUUCAGGUUAAAGUUUUUGGCUUCAGGUUAAAGUUUUUGGUCAAGGUAGUUUUUGAUGAAGUUGAAGUCCAAUCAACUUGAAACUUAGUAUACAUGUGCCCUAUGAUAUGAUCUUUCUAAUUUAAAUGCCAAAUUAGAGUUUUGACCCCAAUUUUACGGUUCACUGAACAUAGAAAAUGAUAGUGCAAAUUAGGUUAAAAGUUUUGGUCAAGGUAGUUUUUGAUGAAGUUGAAGUCCAAUCAACUUGAAACUUAGUAUACAUGUGGCCCUAUGAUAUGAUCUUUCUAAUUUAAAUGCCAAAUUAGAGUUUUGACCA
rnacentral:lncRNA from 1 species